rnacentral:rRNA from 1 species
CCUACGGGAGGCAGCAGUGAGGAAUAUUGGUCAAUGGACGAGAGUCUGAACCAGCCAAGUAGCGUGAAGGAUGACUGCCCUAUGGGUUGUAAACUUCUUUUAUAUGGGAAUAAAAUGUUCCACGUGUGGGAUUUUGUAUGUACCAUAUGAAUAAGGAUCGGCUAACUCCGUGCCAGCAGCCGCGGUAAUACGGAGGAUCCGAGCGUUAUCCGGAUUUAUUGGGUUUAAAGGGAGCGUAGGUGGAUUGUUAAGUCAGUUGUGAAAGUUUGCGGCUCAACCGUAAAAUUGCAGUUGAAACUGGCAGUCUUGAGUGCAGUAGAGGUGAGCGGAAUUCGUGGUGUAGCGGUGAAAUGCUUAGAUAUCACGAAGAACUCCGGUUGCGAAGGCAGUUCACUGGACUGCAACUGACACUGAGGCUCGAAAGUGUGGGUAUCAAACAGGAUUAGAUACCCGAGUAGUC